UUUUUCUUGUUUUUUCCUUUUUCCAAUACGGAGGAAAAGAAACCAACAGGGAUUGCCCCAGUAACGGCGAGUGAAGCGGCAAAAGCUCAAAUUUGAAAUCCUGCGGGAAUUGUAAUUUGAAGGUUUCGUGGUCUGAGUCGGCCGCGCCCAAGUCCAUUGGAACAUGGCGCCUGGGAGGGUGAGAGCCCCGUAUGGCGCACGCCGACUCUUUGCACCGCGGCUCCGACGAGUCGAGUUGUUUGGGAAUGCAGCUCUAAGUGGGUGGUAAAUUCCAUCUAAAGCUAAAUAUUGGCGAGAGACCGAUAGCGAACAAGUACAGUGAUGGAAAGAUGAAAAGCACUUUGAAAAGAGAGUGAAACAGCACGUGAAAUUGUUGAAAGGGAAGGGCUUGCAAGCAGACACGGUUUUACCGGGCCAGCGUCGAAAAGGGGGGAGGAACAAGAACUCGAGAAUGUGGCGCGCACCUUCGGGCGCGCGUGUUAUAGCUCGUGUUGACGCCUCCAUCCCUUUUCGAGGCCUGCGAUUCUAGGACGCUGGCGUAAUGGUUGCAAGCCGCCCGUCUUAAAAACCCGGAACAAACUUUCCGGGGGCCUUG
rnacentral:rRNA from 1 species